CAUUGGUUAAGACUAAAGGUAAAAUUUACAGUUAAUGAGGGUAGAAAGAAUAAAUAUCAUUAACAAAGAUAAAAGAAUAUGGUUUGAGGCUUUCUAUAGAUGCUGCGAUUGUGGAAAGAAAAAGGAAAAAAGCGACGUGUUUAUGCCUGAUUAUGAGAAGGAUUUGUAAAUAACUAGACAUUGUUUGGUUGGCUUGGCGGAUUUUUUUUGAAGAAAUAAAAUUCCAUUAGGAUAGAGUAUGCCAAGUCUAUAAAAAUAUCAUGCAUACUAUUAUAUAUCCUAUAAAUAUUAAAUAUGCUGGAAUUAAAAAAGAAAACAUUUGCUUCAAAAAAAAAAAAAAGGGUUUUUCACUUUUUUGUAUUCAUGUCAAGUCUCGGACUAAUCAGCCAUCUGUUAGAUAUUUAGCCAUAUUUAUCUAUAGAAAAUAGUGAG
rnacentral:lncRNA from 1 species